GACGAACGCUGGCGGCGUGCUUAACACAUGCAAGUCGAACGGAAAGGCCCUGCUUUUGUGGGGUGCUCGAGUGGCGAACGGGUGAGUAACACGUGAGUAACCUGCCCUUGACUUUGGGAUAACUUCAGGAAACUGGGGCUAAUACCGGAUAGGAGCUCCUGCUGCAUGGUGGGGGUUGGAAAGUUUCGGCGGUUGGGGAUGGACUCGCGGCUUAUCAGCUUGUUGGUGGGGUAGUGGCUUACCAAGGCUUUGACGGGUAGCCGGCCUGAGAGGGUGACCGGCACAAUGGGGACGUGGAGACGGCCCAAACCCCUACGGGGGGCAGGGGGGGGGAAUAUUGCAAAAUGGGCGGAAGCCGGAAGCAGCAACGCCGGGGGGGGGAUGAGGGCCUUGGGGUUGGAAACCGCUUUCGCCUGUGAGGAAGGGUGGGUGACGGUAAUGGGGAAAAAAGCACCGGCUAACUACGG
rnacentral:rRNA from 1 species